rnacentral:rRNA from 1 species
AGCGAACGUUAGCGGCGCGCCUAACACAUGCAAGUCGCACGAGAAACGGAGCAAUCCGCGGUACAGUGGCGCACGGGUGAGUAACACGUGGAUGACCUUCCCUGGAGUGGUGGAUAACCUGCCGAAAGGCGGGCUAAUACAGCAUGGGACCACGACGCUUUGGCGAUGUGGUGAAAGCGGGCCUCUAUAUAUAAGCUCGCGCUCCGGGACGGGUCCGCGUCCCAACAGCUAGUUGGUGAGGUAACGGCUCACCAAGGCAACGACGGGUAGCUGGUCUGAGAGGAUGGCCAGCCACACUGGAACUGAGACACGGUCCAGACUCCUACGGGAGGCAGCAGUGGGGAAUCUUGCGCAAUGGGCGAAAGCCUGACGCAGCGACGCCGCGUGGGCGAAGAAGGCCUCGG